UAUUUUUCCACGAUUAUUUUGAAUAUGUUUUUGAUUGUCUCUACUACUUUGUUUAUGAAUUCCUGUGUUUUAGGAGGUGUAACUAUAGGUGUCUUCAUUUGUUCUGUUGUUUCUUUAGUUUGUGUGUUGAUUUUAUCUUCUUGUGCUUGUGUAGUUGUUUCCGUUCGGGUGUGGGUUUUUAAUGCUUGUGCGAAUGUCUGUUUGUUUGUAUUGCCAUUUUGUUGAGGGUUUUGUGUAGGUAGCAAUGGUGUUUUUCUUUGUGUACUGUGUAGUUCAUAAUUUUGAGCUUGUGUGUGUGUGUUGUUUUGUAUAUUGUUUAUUCUUGUUUUAAUAAUUUUAUAUUUCUGGCAUCCUUUGUAGUUUGCCGUGUGUUGUUGUUGGCAGUUGCAACAGUAUAGUUGUGGGUUACUACGCGGGCAUUCAUUGUUUCUGUGGUCUCCCCCACACCCUACGCAGCGUGGGAGAGCUUUACAUGCGGCUGUCACACGUCCAUACCGUUGGCAUUUGUAACACUGGGUUACCACUACCGCAGGUAUUUUGGUUGGUUCUACCGUGUAUUUUCUGUACCACAAUAUAAUCCCGUUUGAUAUUAGGUUCUGUGUGUCUUGUGUUUCUCGCACUUGAACUUUUAUCAGGUUUGUGUGUUUCUGUGUUUUAUUUGAGAAAAUCCGUUAUAUUUUUGUUACUAAAAUGUUUUUCUGUGUGAGUUCUGUUUGGAUUUCUUCGUUAGUAAUGCUAGUGUGUAUGUCCUUAAUGACGAAAGACUUAGGGUUGGGCUUGUUUCCUGGUAAGUGUAUUGUUAUCUUGCCGGGUUCAAACGCAUGUUGGGGCCAUGUUUUUAGUAGUCGGUUCAGGUCAGCGGCCUCUGAUCCUUUGACCAGGACGCCGACCUUGGCUAGACGUUUUAUUGUUGUAAUGUGUACUUCCGGCUUACAUCGCUUGAUUUCAGCCGUAAGUUAUGGUUCCCGGUACUGUGCUGGGAUACCUUGGAUUAUAAUUGCGUUUUGUGGUGUGUUUUUGUGUGUUGCAUUUGUAUGAUUGUUUGUGUUUUGUGCUGUUUGUUUUCUUCGAUUUUACUAGUAUGAAAUAGUUUUGAUCUUCUGGUGUUUCUUGUGUUUGUUUGAGAUUAUCUUCGUGUACUUCUUUUUGUGUCCCUUGUUGGUCGUGUGAGUUUCCACGUGCUUCUUUGUGUUUAGAUUGUGUAGGUGUGUUGUUGUAUUCUUCUUUGUGUUUAGUUUGUGCAGGUAUGUUGUUGUAUUCUUCUUCGUGUUUAGUUUGUGCAGGUAUGUUGUUGUAUUCUUCUUUGUGUUUAGUUUGUGCAGGUAUGUUGUUGUAUUCUUCUUCGUGUUUAGUUUGUGUAGGUGUGUUGUUGUAUUCUAGUAUUGAUUUUCCUGAGUGUUCUUCUUGUGGUUCUGUAGUGUCGUUAGUUUCCAUUGAAGUGUUUUUUGUGUAAGUGUGUUGUUGUAUUCUUCUUCGUGUUUAGUUUGUGUAGGUGUGUUGUUGUAUUCUAGUAUUGAUUUUCCCGAGUGUUCUUCAUGUGGUUCUGUAGUGUCGUUAGUUUCCAUUGAAGUGUUUGUUUGUGUGUCAUUUUUUUUUAGCCUAACUGCUUUCUUUGUUUUACGUGAAGCUAACCUUGCCAUUCUUUCGUUGUAUUCUUGUUUUGCUAAUGUUACCAGUUGUUCGAGUUCUGGACUGUAAGAGGCUAAUAUGUCUAUAGUCAAACCAGCUUUACCUGAAGCAGUGCUCCCGCUCGGCGUUGACAUUUAGUUCUGUAUGGAGUCAAACUCAAAUCGUCUAUCGAAUAGAUUAGGCUAAAAGUAAUUGUUAAUGUUCUUUACCAAAAACAAAAAAAAUAAUACUACAAACCAGUUUCUCUAAAACUCUUCAAUAGAAACAUAAACGUAAUUCUAGCAGUAAUAAUGUCUGCUGGAAAUAUACAUUUAAAUUUACUAAUAAAUGAUCAAAACAGAAAAUUGUAUAUGAUUUAUUUAUUUAGAAUAUAAUUUGUUUUUCAUAAUCUAUAGAAAUAUCCUUUAGCCAAAAAAAUACAAUAUUAAACAUAAAGGUCACUGCAUUAAAUCGAAAAAAAAUUACUGAUUUUAAAGUACUAAACUUUGAAAUUAUUGUAUUUGAUAACAUUAUAUUCAGGGGUAUAAGAAUUAUGAUUGUACGUUCGAUGUUUUAAUAAGAAGUAUAUUGCUAACAAAUAGUGGAUGAAAUAAAUUCAUUUUAUUUUAUUCGUCUAUAUCCUUUUCAUAUUCUGCUUCAGCGUUUUAACACCUCAAUUGUUUUUUUUUUUUAUCUAAAAUAAUCUAUAAUGAAUAAAAUAUUAUAACCUACUUUUUUGCACCUAAGGCAAUCGUGUUUUCAAGAUUUUUAAUUCUUAUGAAUGAUUCAUUUCAGUUUAAACGAACAAUAUAGAUAUUGGUACAUUUUGAUAUAUUCGCGUUUUCUCAAAUUUAACAGAAUGUGUUGGGUAUUAAUUUAAACUUAUGAACUUUUUGUAAAUAAUCUUAAUCAAGAAUCUUGUCAGUAGAUAUGUUAUCAACUUAUAAUUUUUUAUGUAUGCAUUUGUGGUGUCAUAGUGAAGGAAUAUACUUUGUCUUUCCAAAAUAGUUCAAAUGUGUAGGCCAUAAGAAUUAUAAUCAUUAAUUCCAAAUGACAAAAUAUUAUAGAGUACUACUCUUCAAGAUAACACACUUAAGAUUUUUCACCUUUGUAAGCCAAGUUACUUUUUCGUUUAAGGUCUUUGCUUUUGUAUGUGUGUGUGCAGAGCUUAAAUGUAUAUUGGUCUUAAUAACACUGCUGUCAAGUUUUGUUCACCAUUUCAACCUUCAGUUUUUCUUGAUAGAUCAUAAUGGGUAAAAUUAAUAUGCCACUUGUUAUGAUUUCUUAACAUCAGUUUGUAUUUAUACAAAUGCUGUAUUUAUUUUUAAUUCGUAAUAUGAAUAGUUUACUUCCUUCGAAUGAACUGUUUGCUUGCUGCUUGAUAUAUAAGUGUCUAUAAAUCAAGUGUAUAAUAUUUGUUAAAUAAACAUUCUACUGUCACACCA
rnacentral:lncRNA from 1 species